rnacentral:rRNA from 1 species
GAUGAACGCUGGCGGCGUGCCUAAUACAUGCAAGUCGAGCGAACAGAUGAGGAGCUUGCUCCUCUGACGUUAGCGGCGGACGGGUGAGUAACACGUGGAUAACCUACCUAUAAGACUGGGAUAACUUCGGGAAACCGGAGCUAAUACCGGAUAAUAUAUUGAACCGCAUGGUUCAAUAGUGAAAGACGGUUUUGCUGUCACUUAUAGAUGGAUCCGCGCCGCAUUAGCUAGUUGGUAAGGUAACGGCUUACCAAGGCAACGAUGCGUAGCCGACCUGAGAGGGUGAUCGGCCACACUGGAACUGAGACACGGUCCAGACUCCUACGGGAGGCAGCAGGAGGGAAUCUUCCGCAAUGGGCGAAAGCCUGACGGAGCAACGCCGCGUGAGUGAUGAAGGUCUUCGGAUCGUAAAACUCUGUUAUUAGGGAAGAACAAAUGUGUAAGUAACUAUGCACGUCUUGACGGUACCUAAUCAGAAAGCCACGGCUAACUACGU